AACUGAUACUACCUGCGGGAACCUGCGGAAGGAUCAUUACAGAGUUGAAAAACUCCCAAACCCUUGUGAACAUACCUAACGUUGCUUCGGCGGUGCGGCCCUAGGCCGCUGCCUCCCUGUGAGGCGCCCGCCGGAGGUUUACAAACUCUAUGUAUUAUAUUGUCUUCUCUGAGUUGUCUUUUAAAUAAGUCAAAACUUUUAACAAUGGAUCUCU
rnacentral:misc_RNA from 1 species